ensembl:lncRNA
CAGCACGUAAGUACACCCAUUUAUAUCCACACGCCACUUAAAAUGCCGGCGGUUCAAUCUGUCUAUCUUAUAUUCAGAAAAUGCAGACUUAUAGCUUUACGCUGCUCGGAUGAAUAGAGGCUUGGCGAAAAAUUUCCAAGGCCAAAUUGCCCUUAAUGUCAGUGUGAAAUUAGGUUCCUGACCCGGGCCGGUGCCGCGCAGUAUGCUUAUUCUCUUUCUUUAAUCUUCCCUCCGCCUACCCUGCCGUACCGGAGCCGACGCCGGACUCUGAUGACAUCCUUCUUUUCUCCUCCAUCUGUCUCUCUUUCGCUCUUAAGGGGGGAUACACAGCACUUCACCUGGCAUCUCUGCAUGGACACGCCCACAUCAUUCAGCUUCUGAUUAAUAACUACAAUGCUAAAGUGAACAUUAGGGACUACCACGGCAAGAUGGCCGCUCAUUACUGGAAUGGAAGCAUGGACGUUUUCAACAUGGGUGGCUCUCAAUCAGGUGGGAAGUGGUCGAGAGGGAGGCGUGGACAGCGCUAUGGACAGUUAUCAGCUCUUCUUUCUCGUUCGCGGAGUCAGGGAAACCUCAAUGUGGAGCUGAUCCCUGGCUCUCUGGAGUUAACCCCUCGUCUUCUGCCUCGCUCUGAAACCAACAUUCCGACCCUCAUGGACACGUUCUGAAUGGAGUUUUUGAGUUUCUACAGUCUGUAUGUAAAUACGAGUGAAAGAUAGUGUCAAUUAGAAACACCAUCUUUCUGUCUCCUCUCAUCUGUUGUCUUAUGAAGUGAAGAAGAUGCCAUGCUAUUGAUCAUGUUGAAGGUUUUUAUUUAGACAUAUUGUUUCUCAGCACAUUAUUGGCUGGCCUAGUGCCCAGUGUGAUCUUCUGCUGUCUGUGUCCACCAUGAUGAGCACCAGCUGUGGACACAAUGCAGUCAGUACUGUCAGUCAGUUUGCCUUCUCUUAUUCUCUUAUGCAUUUUAACCCAAAAGUGCAGACCCUUUCAAAGCUUUUCUUCAUUUUAACGCAUGCAGUCCUUAAAGGAGAACUCCGGUGUAAAAUGGACCUUUGGUGUAGUAAACCAUGAUAAAAGUACUUACCUUUGAUAAAUAGCAAACUUCGGUUCUCCCAGAGCUUUCUGAGAUCCAGAAAUUUUACCAGUUUGUCCAAACACCCUUCAGACUGGGUGACACAAUUUAAAAAGUGCACAAGAAAACUUAUUAAAAUCCUCUGUUUACAUCCCAUAACACGAGUGUUCUAUUCAUCAAAGGUAAGUACUUUUAUCAUGUUUUACUACGACAAAAGUCCAUUUCACACGGGUGAGGUACAUUGAACAUCCAGAGUGCAUCACAGGACAGUGUGUAAAUGUGUGAAUGUGUGAUCAGCUGACCUUAUGUAAAGACUUAAGGUGUGCUUGGUUACAUUUAAAAAAUGCAUAUAGUUAGUUCUGAUACAAUUUCUAGAAAAGAAUGUUAAAAUAGAAGUUCUAAAAGCAUUGAUUCCAAACUUUUAAACCGUACAUAUACAUCAUCUAUCAUCUAUACAUCAUCUAUAACCUUAAAUAACCAGUGGAAUAGAUCCCUUCAGCUGUGAUCUUAGGAUCGGCAGUUUGAAUCCUGAAUCAUGCUGGAUCAUUCCAAGUUGGGGAAAAAAUGGGCUGAAAUUAAUAUUAAUAUUGUGUAGGUUCCCAUUGUGUGGUCUGGACCAUUUUUCAGUUUGGGUCCAAAAAGGCAAGUCAAUCUUUAAACAAAACAUAGAAAAGGAGAAUUGUGUUCUUCCAAAAUUUGACUCCCCUUGGCGUGCAGGAGUGUCACUCAGCAGUAUGAACACAAAUGCUUAGACUGGGAAUUCAUUAAUUUAUUGUAACACUAGAUUAACCCUUAUUCAUAAAUAGGAAUUAAAGGAAUCUGGGGAUAAGCUUUUACACGCAACUUUUUCCCGCUCCUUUCAAAUCACAGAACCCAUAAUAUUCUACAAAAUGAUUAAUAUGAAGUAUAGAGACCAUGUAGCUGAUGACAACAAGAUAUCUUACAAUUUUUUAUUCAACCCUUGUUGCGCACUCUGAUCCGGACUUCAUAUGACAUAUUCCUUUUUAAACCUCAUUAACCUUUUUAAAAACAGCUGUCUUGCCAGACGCAUCACUGAGUCUUGGACAUACAGUAUUGUGCAAAUUACAUUUACAUUACAUUACAUUACAUUACAUUGCAAAUGUUAUAGGUGGGAAUUUCAGUAAAGAAAGAGCUUCUUAUUUGGGCAGUAAGUGUUUAUUAGCUCAGUAAAACACUAUAAUUACAAUAAAUACAAACAGUGAUUUUACA